rnacentral:rRNA from 1 species
UACAGAGGGUGCAAGCGUUAAUCGGAAUUACUGGGCGUAAAGCGUGCGUAGACGGUUGCGUAAGUCAGAUGUGAAAGCCCCGGGCUCAACCUGGGAAUUGCAUUUGAGACUGCGUAGCUAGGGUGCGGAAGAGGGAAGCGGAAUUUCCGGUGUAGCGGUGAAAUGCGUAGAUAUCGGAAGGAACACCAGUGGCGAAAGCGGCUCCUGGUCCAGCACCGACGUCAGGCACGAAAGCGUGGGGAGC